AUCUCAUGGUGUGAACAUUGUCUUAACAAUUCCUUGAAUCUUUCACAUGCAUCAAACAAAGACUUAUCAUUUCCUUUCCUAAAUGAAGUGAUUUCUCUCCUCAUCUU